rnacentral:lncRNA from 1 species
GCUCGCGCCGGGAGGGGCCCUCGCGCCCCGCGCCCACAGGUGCACGCGCCCUUGGCGCCGCCUGCACCCCACGCGCCCCCUCCGCUCCCCGGCCGACGGCCCACCUGGGCUUCGUGAACAGUGGGAGGGAGAGUCUGGGGCCAGGAGAGGGACGGUGCAGGAUCAGGGAAAGGUGGAAAUCAGAAGUACAUGCAAUAGGAAUUAACUUGAAUAUGAUGCAUAAAGUUUGAAGCAAAGAAAGAUCUGCUGAGCAUGCCUGAGCUGAGAAAUGAGGGAAGGCAGACAUAUGUAUGAGCGCCUAUGCAGAGAGGUGAGUAGAUGUGGUUGCGGGGAGCUUGUGGAAAGUCUUUCCUGAUUUCUUCUGUUUCUCACUAAAGGCUACUUAGGAGAAGGACCUGGAGCUUUGAGGAAAAGGUGCAGACUAUAUCUUUAGGAGAUAGAGAGAGUGAGGGGACACGGGGAAAAUGGCAGAAUUGCAGAACAACUUUUAAGAUCCACUUCAGGCCAGCACAGUGGCUCACACCCGUCA